rnacentral:rRNA from 1 species
AUACGGAGGGGGCUAGCGUUGUUCGGAAUUACUGGGCGUAAAGCGUACGUAGGCGGACUGAUCAGUUGGGGGUGAAAUCUCAGGGCUUAACCCUGGAACUGCCUUCAAUACUGUCAGUCUUGAGUUUGGGAGAGGUGAGUGGAAUUCCUAGUGUAGAGGUGAAAUUCAUAGAUAUUAGGAGGAACACCAGUGGCGAAGGCGGCUCACUGGCCCAUUACUGACGCUGAGGUACGAAAGCGUGGGGAGCAAACAGGAUUAGAAACCCUUGUAGUCC